GACGAACGCUGGCGGCGCGCCUAACACAUGCAAGUCGAACGGAGCUUAGAGAGCUUGCUUUUUAAGCUUAGUGGCGAACGGGUGAGUAACGCGUGAGUAACCUGCCCUAGAGUGGGGGACAACAGUUGGAAACGACUGCUAAUACCGCAUAAGCCCACGGUACCGCAUGGCACUGAGGGAAAAGGAUUUAUUCGCUUUAGGAUGGACUCGCGUCCAAUUAGCUAGUUGGUGAGGUAACGGCCCACCAAGGCGACGAUUGGUAGCCGGACUGAGAGGUUGAACGGCCACAUUGGGACUGAGACACGGCCCAGACUCCUACGGGAGGCAGCAGUGGGGGAUAUUGCACAAUGGGGGAAACCCUGAUGCAGCGACGCCGCGUGGAGGAAGAAGGUUUUCGGAUUGUAAACUCCUGUCGUUAGGGACGAUAAUGACGGUACCUAACAAGAAAGCACCGGCUAACUACGUGCCAGCAGCCGCGGUAAAACGUAGGGUGCAAGCGUUGUCCGGAAUUACUGGGUGUAAAGGGAGCGCAGGCGGGAAGACAAGUUGGAAGUGAAAACCAUGGGCUCAACCCAUGAAUUGCUUUCAAAACUGUUUUUCUUGAGUAGUGCAGAGGUAGAUGGAAUUCCCGGUGUAGCGGUGGAAUGCGUAGAUAUCGGGAGGAACACCAGUGGCGAAGGCGGUCUACUGGGCACCAACUGACGCUGAGGCUCGAAAGCAUGGGUAGCAAACAGGAUUAGAUACCCUGGUAGUCCAUGCCGUAAACGAUGAUUACUAGGUGUUGGGGGAUUGACCCCCUCAGUGCCGCAGUUAACACAAUAAGUAAUCCACCUGGGGAGUACGACCGCAAGGUUGAAACUCAAAGGAAUUGACGGGGGCCCGCACAAGCAGUGGAGUAUGUGGUUUAAUUCGAAGCAACGCGAAGAACCUUACCAGGUCUUGACAUCCGAUGCAUAGCACAGAGAUGUGUGAAAUCCUUCGGGACAUCGAGACAGGUGGUGCAUGGUUGUCGUCAGCUCGUGUCGUGAGAUGUUGGGUUAAGUCCCGCAACGAGCGCAACCCUUAUUGCCAGUUACUACGUUGAGGACUCUGGCGAGACUGCCGUUGACAAAACGGAGGAAGGUGGGGAUGACGUCAAAUCAUCAUGCCCUUUAUGACCUGGGCUACACACGUACUACAAUGGCGUUAAACAAAGAGAAGCAAGACCGCGAGGUGGAGCAAAACUCAAAAACAACGUCUCAGUUCAGAUUGCAGGCUGCAACUCGCCUGCAUGAAGUCGGAAUUGCUAGUAAUCGCGGAUCAGCAUGCCGCGGUGAAUACGUUCCCGGGCCUUGCACA
rnacentral:rRNA from 1 species